AUUGAACGCUGGCGGCAUGCCUUACACAUGCAAGUCGAACGGCAGCACGGGUGCUGCACCUGGUGGCGAGUGGCGAACGGGUGAGUAAUACAUCGGAACGUACCUUAUCGUGGGGGAUAACGCAGCGAAAGCUGUGCUAAUACCGCAUACGCCCUGAGGGGGAAAGCGGGGGAUCGCAAGACCUCGCGCGAUUAGAGCGGCCGAUGCCUGAUUAACUAGUUGGUGGGGUAAAAGCCCACCAAGGCGACGAUCAGUAGCUGGUCUGAGAGGACGAUCAGCCACACUGGGACUGAGACACGGCCCAGACUCCUACGGGAGGCAGCAGUGGGGAAUUUUGGACAAUGGGGGCAACCCUGAUCCAGCAAUGCCGCGUGAGUGAAGAAGGCCUUCGGGUUGUAAAGCUCUUUUGUCAGGGAAGAAACACCGGCUCUAACACAGUCCGGGAAUGACGGUACCUGAAGAAUAAGCACCGGCUAACUACGUGCCAGCAGCCGCGGUAA
rnacentral:rRNA from 1 species